UACGUAGGGUGCGAGCGUUGUCCGGAAUUAUUGGGCGUAAAGGGCUCGUAGGCGGUUUGUCGCGUCGGGAGUGAAAACACCGGGCUUAACUCGGUGCUUGCUUUCGAUACGGGCAGACUAGAGGUAUGCAGGGGAGAACGGAAUUCCUGGUGUAGCGGUGAAAUGCGCAGAUAUCAGGAGGAACACCGGUGGCGAAGGCGGGUCUCUGGGCGAUACUGACGCUGAGGAGCGAAA
rnacentral:rRNA from 1 species